rnacentral:rRNA from 1 species
UACAGAGGUCCCAAGCGUUGUUCGGAUUCACUGGGCGUAAAGGGUGCGUAGGUGGUGGGGUAAGUCGGAUGUGAAAUCUCGGAGCUCAACUCCGAAAUGGCAUUGGAAACUACCCUGCUUGAGGGUCGGAGGGGGGACUGGAAUUCUCGGUGUAGCAGUGAAAUGCGUAGAUAUCGAGAGGAACACCAGUGGCGAAGGCGAGUCCCUGGACGACUCCUGACACUGAGGCACGAAAGCUAGGGGAGCAAACAGGAUUAGAAACCCCAGUAGUCC